rnacentral:sRNA from 1 species
UUAUAGCCCCGGUAGGAGCGGCAUCCUUUGCCUUUUUUCUUUCAAAAGGCAAAGAUAUAGCGGAUAACGGGUCUUUGC